rnacentral:rRNA from 1 species
GACGAACGCUGGCGGCGUGCUUAACACAUGCAAGUCGAACGAAGAGCGAUGGAAGCUUGCUUCUAUCAAUCUUAGUGGCGCACGGGUGAGUAACGCGUAAUCAACCUGCCCUUCAGAGGGGGACAACAGUUGGAAACGACUGCUAAUACCGCAUACGAUCUAAUCUCGGCAUCGAGGAUAGAUGAAAGGUGGCCUCUACAUGUAAGCUAUCACUGAAGGAGGGGAUUGCGUCUGGUUAGCUAGUUGGAGGGGUAACGGCCCACCAAGGCGAAGAUCAGUAGCCGGUCUGAGAGGAUGAACGGCCACAUUGGGACUGAGACACGGCCCAGACUCCUACGGGAGGCAGCAGUGGGGAAUCUUCCGAAAUGGACGAAAGUCUGACGGAGCAACGCCGCGUGAGUGAUGACGGCCUUCGGGUUGUAAAGCUCUGUUAAUCGGGACGAAAGGCCUUCUUGCGAAUAGUGAGAAGGAUUGACGGUACCGGAAUAGAAAGCCACGGCUAACUACGUG